rnacentral:sRNA from 1 species
UAGAAGCAGAAAUAAAACUUUUCAGUAUC